rnacentral:lncRNA from 1 species
UUUGAGCCCAGAAGUUGGGGCUGCAGUGAGCCGAGAUCGCGCCACUGCACUCCAGCCUGGGUGACAGAGUGAGACCCUGUCUCUAAAAGAAAUGGAGGCCAACCCUGCAGAACCGCCUCUGCAGCCCGGGCUUUGUGGCUUCUCUCCGACCCCCUCCCAGUCGCAGACGCGCCCACUUUCAGCCCAGCGUGCCGAAAGUGGCCGAGUCCCAUCUGCCCCUGCGGGCCGCUCGCCGUCGCCAUGGAAACGAAAGCGGCCAAGGAGGGCUCCGCCCUAACGCGCCGGCUCCGGUGGGCUCCGGCGGCUGCGCCGCGGCGGACAAAGAUGCUGAAGGCCAAGAUCCUCUUCGUGGGGCUUUGCGAGGUGAGGCCUUGCCCGGCGCGGCAGAGGGAGCGGGGAGCGGGCCUCGGGGCCUGGGCGAGCGCAGGUCCCCACCACUCUGGUCUGUGCCUUGCUCCUGGAGGCGUGAACCCGGGCCCACCGCGCCCAUCCCGGUUGGCGCCCCUGGCCUUUCCGUGAACUCCGUGCUUUCAGACCUCGAUUCCAACCACUUCCCGGAGGAGGUAAUGGAGGCGAGCCCGGUGUUAAUGAGCCCCCAAGGCCCAAGUCUGGUUCCCACUGCUCCCCGCUGCAGACAGCCCAUAGCUGGUUGCAUCUUGUCAGAGGCAAACACCCGGAGAUGGAGAUGUGUGUCUCAGUCCUAAGCCCAAGUCUCCAGAGAAGGGCAUCUGGAGGGCCCUCCAGGGUCCAUCCCAACCCAAAUCUUCUGUAGUCAAGAACAAGGAGCCAGUGGUGCAGACACAGAUGCAGUUCCAUCGCUUGGGCCCCACCAAGGAGAGAAGAAGUUCUCAGAGACUAGAGUGGAGGAUGGAGACAGGCUGGGCCCACACCCCCAUGCCCCACAGGUACCUACUACGACUCCCCAGAAAUAAACAUUUCCCCAGUCCUGACUCUAUGGCUGCCUUUCAUCUCCCAGAGCCUCCCCUCCACAUCUUAUUGGGAUUGAGGUCCCCAGCCUCAGAGCUGCCUGCCUCUACCCCUGGAUCUGUCCCCUGUUCCUACAAGCCCACCCCUCGCCAACAUUAUACUCCCAAAGUUACCACUCCCCACUGGGGAUAAUCUCAAAGUUGAAGCCCUACCCUCAAGGUGCUUACAAUCUAGUUGGCGAUACCAAACCAACACACAGGAACAGACUGAAGAAGUAUCUGGUGCUAAACCAUAAUCCAGGGCUCUGGGGUAGUAGGGAUGCAGGGAAGGGGGC